CGUUAGCGGCGGACGGGUGAGUAACACGUGGGUAACCUACCUAUAAGACUGGGAUAACUUCGGGAAACCGGAGCUAAUACCGGAUAAUAUUUCGAACCGCAUGGUUCGAUAGUGAAAGAUGGUUUUGCUAUCACUUAUAGAUGGACCUGCGCCGUAUUAGCUAGUUGGUAAGGUAACGGCUUACCAAGGCGACGAUACGUAGCCGACCUGAGAGGGUGAUCGGCCACACUGGAACUGAGACACGGUCCAGACUCCUACGGGAGGCAGCAGGC
rnacentral:rRNA from 1 species